GAUGAACGCUGGCGGCGUGCCUAAUACAUGCAAGUCGAGCGAACAGACGCGGAGCUUGCUCCUCUGACGUUAGCGGCGGACGGGUGAGUAACAUGUGUAUCACCUACCUAUAUGACUGGGAUAACUUCGGGAAACCGGAGCUAAUACCGGAUAAUAUAUUGAACCGCAUGGUUCAAUAGUGAAAGACGGUUUUGCUGUCUCUUAUAGAUGGAUCCGCGCCGCAUUAGCUAGUUGGUAGGGUAACGGCUUACCAAGGCUACGAUGCGUAGCCGACGUGAGAGGGGGGUCGGCCGCACUGGAGCGGAGACACGGUCCAGACGCCUGCGGGAGGCAGCAGUAGGGUAUCGUCCGCAGUAGGCGGGAGCCUGGCGGAACAGCGGGGCGUGAGAUGUGGAAAUGUUCGGAUCGUGAAACUCUGUUAUGAGUGAUGAACAAAUGUGUAAGGAACUGAGCACGUCUUGACGGUACCGAGUAAAGAAGCCACGGCUAACUACGUG
rnacentral:rRNA from 1 species